CCUACGGGUGGCAGCAGUGAGGAAUAUUGGUCAAUGGACGGAAGCCUGAACCAGCCAAGCCGCGUGCAGGAUGAAGGUACUACGUGUCGUAAACCGCUUUUGUAAGGGGGCAAUAUCGGGUACGUGUCCCCGGAUGAAUGUACCUGACGAAUAAGGAUCGGCUAACUCCGUGCCAGCAGCCGCGGUAAUACGGAGGAUCCGAGCGUUAUCCGGAUUUAUUGGGUUUAAAGGGGGCGUAGGUGGUUUGUUAAGUCAGUUGUGAAAAUUUGCGGCUCAACCGCAGAAGUGCAACUGAUACUGGGAGGCUUGAGUAUAGGUGAGGUAGGCGGAAUGCGUGGUGUAGCGGUGAAAUGCGUAGAGAUCAUGCAGAACGCCGAUUGCGAAGGCAGCUUACCAAACUGUGACUGACAUUGAUGCACGAAAGCGUGGGUAUCAAACAGGAUUAGAUACCCCGGUAGUC
rnacentral:rRNA from 1 species